GCACACAUUUAAAAAAAAAAUUUAUUUAUUUGAAAGAAAGAAAUAGAGUAGGGGAGAGUCAUAAGGAGAGAGAGAGAGAGAGAGAAUCUCAAGCAGACUCACUGCUGGGCACAGAGCCCCAUGCGGGGCUUGAUCUCAUGACCCUGAGACCAUGACCUGAGCCAAAAUCAAGAGUCAGUUGCUCAACUGACUGAGCCACACAGGCACCUUCUCCCCCACUUUUUAAAAAUGUAUUUUAUAGAAAGAAGAUUUAUUUAUUUUACAGAAAGAGAGAGAGAGAGAGAGAGAGCCUGCAUGACAUUCUUAACACCUGCUCUGCCACCCACUUUCCAGCCUCCUUUGGAAGUCAAGAACUGGGUUCUGAGACCUUCGGUCAGAAUGCUUUGCGUCUCUAGGAGUUCCUUAUUUUGAGCUCUACCGUGGAGCACAGGACUUUGGCUCCCCACAAAGUCUGUGAACCUUCUGGCCAGAUGUAAGCGCCUGUCUGUAUUGCCCUCCUUCUGGAGGUGAGGAGGAAGGUAAGCACUUCUGCCUACUGAGUCUGGUUUAUGUGAUUGAUGCUGGGACUUCUAAUUUCGAGGACAAACGAUCCAUUAGUGGAAAUGGG
rnacentral:lncRNA from 12 species